AUUGAACGCUGGCGGUAGGCCUAACACAUGCAAGUCGAACGCGAAAGUCCUUCGGGAUGAGUAGAGUGGCGGACGGGUGAGUAACGCGUAGGAAUCUGUCCUGUAGUGGGGGAUAACGUUUCGAAAGGAACGCUAAUACCGCAUACGCCCUACGGGGAAAGGCGGGGGAGUCUUCGGACCUCGUGCUAGAGGAGGAGCCUGCGUCGGAUUAGCUAGUUGGUGAGGUAAAGGCUCACCAAGGCGACGAUCCGUAGCUGGUCUGAGAGGAUGAUCAGCCACACCGGAACUGAGACACGGUCCGGACUCCUACGGGAGGCAGCAGUGGGGAAUAUUGCGCAAUGGGCGAAAGCCUGACGCAGCCAUAACCGCGUGAGUGAAG
rnacentral:rRNA from 1 species